CCUACGGGAGGCAGCAGUGGGGAAUAUUGCACAAUGGGCGCAGGCCUGAUGCAGCCAUGCCGCGUGUAUGAAGAAGGCCUUCGGGUUGUAAAGUACUUUCAGCGGGGAGGAAGGCGCUGAGGUUAAUAACCUCAGCGAUUGACGUUACCCGCAGAAGAAGCACCGGCUAACUCCGUGCCAGCAGCCGCGGUAAUACGGAGGGUGCAAGCGUUAAUCGGAAUUACUGGGCGUAAAGCGCACGCAGGCGGUUUGUUAAGUCAGAUGUGAAAUCCCCGGGCUCAACCUGGGAACUGCAUCUGAUACUGGCAAGCUUGAGUCUCGUAGAGGGGGGUAGAAUUCCAGGUGUAGCGGUGAAAUGCGUAGAGAUCUGGAGGAAUACCGGUGGCGAAGGCGGCCCCCUGGACGAAGACUGACGCUCAGGUGCGAAAGCGUGGGGAGCAAACAGGAUUAGAUACCCGUGUAGUC
rnacentral:rRNA from 1 species